rnacentral:tRNA from 1 species
AGCAGUGUGGCUUAGUGGAUAGAGCAUGGGCUUGGGAGUCAAAAGGACCUGGGUUCUAAUCCCAGCUCUAUCA